GACGAACCGAGCGAACGUUGUUCGGAAUCACUGGGCUUAAAGGGCGCGUAGGCGGGCUGUCAAGUCUGGGGUGAAAUCCCACGGCUCAACCGUGGAACUGCCUUAGAUACUGACGGCCUCGAGGGAGAUAGGGGCGAGCGGAACUGUGAGUGGAGCGGUGGAAUGCGUAGAGAUCCGGAAGAACACCGGUGGCGAAGGCGGCCUGCUGGGCAGUUGCUGACACUGAGGCGCGACAGCGUGGGGAGCAAACAGG
rnacentral:rRNA from 1 species